rnacentral:tmRNA from 1 species
GGGAAUAAAUAUUCGACAUUAUUA